UGUUGAUAUGCCAGUGUACGCAGUGAGAGCUAAUGUAUCCAAAGACUGUAGUCCUUUGUUUUUCCUACCUGUUUUUUUUUUUUUUUUUUUUUUUUUUUUUACAACAGCAAUACUGACUUAAUAAGAGAAGAGAACAGAGAACUGGUCCCAACACCUAGCAGCCUGUGCUCCAGAGUGCCCUGGGGAUGAGACUCAAGUGAAGGCCUAUUUCUACAGUAGUGCAGAUAAAUGUAGCUGCCACCCCUCAUUAAAGAAGCAUCUCUGUACAGCAAAUGGAAGCCAUCAUAGAAAACCACAACUGGACAUAAUUCAGAGAUCAACAGAUCGAAGGGAGCCCAGAACCAAUAACUGCAUCUGUAGCAGAGCUCCUGCAUUUAUGGAGCAGAUGCACCCAUGGACUGUAUCAGUUUUAUCCAGAACUCCAAAAGAAAGUGCUGAUGGUUAUAUGGACACACACCUGGCUUAAAUUUGAGCUAGCGAAUAAAACAAGAAAUUGACCUCUAAUGCGAAAUGUCAACCAUACUAUUGUAUUUUUUUUUUUUUUGUAGGAGGGAAGGCUCUCCCUCAUUAAGUUUUUCAAGCUGUCUGCCUCCAUGACAGAUACAUGGUAACUAACUGUGGGUACAGACUCUCAUCCCAAGUAUAUCCUGCUAGUAGCUCAAGGUAGAUAGAGGUAAAUGUAGGUACAUUUGUCAGCUUGAUACCCCUUGAACAUGAGUUCUGGUUUCUGUGUAUCCAUACCCUAAAAAGUUUAAAGCCAUCAGAGGAUGACCCUGUAAAGGAAAAAAAAAUCGUUCUGUCUCUUGUCAGUCCCAUUCCUGAUGUGUAACCCAGCAGACGACAAGACUCAUCUGGACAAAUCUCAAUAACAAUAUUUGAUGUACAGAUUACAGGACAGGCAUUUUGCAUCUGGUCAGGGACUCAACAGUAAGUCUGUCUAGUGUAAACCGCUUGGUAGAUUUAUUCUCUCUUUUCUGAUGAUUUAAAAAGUGACAUUUGCUAUCUUCAUCUUUACAGAGGGGUAAAUGCUUCUGUGAAUACAUUAUAUCAGUAAACUAUCAUGUGCCGUUUAAGUUCACGAAGACGCUGACACUCGAGCUGGGACUCGGCCGUCUCAUGCCAUACCCAGCCAUGUUAGUCUCAAGGUUUUCUAUACAGCCACCUGCUCUGAGUCAAGCUGCCAUCCCGCAUCUGUGACAGAGAAAAAGGAGACCAACAAAACAGCUCAGGACUGAAGACACUGCCCUUGAAGGCUGCUACGGGAAAAUUAGAAAUGGACAUUAAGAUGUCUGUAGCAGAAACAGCUAAUGGGAUAUUCAUCCAUGGAGAGGAUAGAAAAGAAUGUUAGUCUAAAAACUUCAACCACCAACUGUCAGGGACAAGGACAGAAUCUCUAGUUAGUGGAAAAAUACUGACCCCCUCUCAUAAGACAGGCAACUAGAUCAGCUUACAGUCAGGUUGCCUAGCAAUAGGACAUUGAGUCAGAGCCCUUGACCCUCUCACCCUGUAAACAUCCUAUACAAACAUCCUGUUAGCUUGCCCUACCUUAUGCAGAUGACAGCUUCUUGCUCCCCGCACCCUGCAGAAACUAUAUAAAUCCUUGUGGAAGGAAAUAAAGUGGCACCUUGAUCAGAAUCUA